rnacentral:lncRNA from 1 species
GCUCCCCCCCCCCCGCCGGAGGAGGCGGUUUUUGCUGAUGUGAGCGGCGCCGGUCGCAUUUCUUCUUCCUCCUCCUCCUCGUCUUCCCCCUCUUCUUCUUGUUCUAGGUCUUGGUGCUCGUCAAACUCCAUUCCUCGGUAUCUGAUAGUUACAUCGGAGCUCGAGGUCAUCCCAUCACACACACUUGGGAAUGAAUUAUGGUGAUGGAGGAUUUGUGGUGAGGGGGGGGAAAGAGAUCGGAGGGGUUGUAUUUGUUGGUGUUUGGGGGGUUUGGUGGUGCUAAAGGAAGUAAUGGAGAUGAUGACGGGUGUGUGGGUAGCAGUAAAGAGAUAAGAAGGGGCAAGUUUGAAAGUGGGAAGCAGAGUGUGGUCAUCAAUUUUUACUCUGCUGUGGACAGAAGGAGCAACCCUACUUAUUACAUAUUUUUUCCUCGGAAAUAUCGAGAUAAAAAAAAAAUCCAGAAAUAAAAAACAUCGGAGAUAUCGAAA